rnacentral:rRNA from 1 species
AAUAUUGGACAAUGGGCGAAAGCCUGAUCCAGCCAUGCCGCGUGUGUGAAGAAGGUCUUCGGAUUGUAAAGCACUUUAAGCUGGGAGGAAGGGUUGUAGGUUAAUACUCUGCAAUCUUGACGUUACCAACAGAAUAAGCACCGGCUCACUUCGUGCCAGCAGCCGCGGUACUACGAAGGGUUCAAGCGUUAAUGGGAAUUACUGGGCGUAAAGCGCGCGUAGUUGGUUCGUGAAGUUGGAAGUGGAAGCCCCGGGCUUAACCUGGGAAUUGCUUUCAAAACUGACGAGCUAGAGUACGGUAGAGGGUAGUGGAAUUUCCUGUGUAGCGGUGAAAUGCGUAGAUAUAGGAAGGAACAUCAGUGGCGAAGGCGACUACCUGGACUGAUACUGACACUGAGGUGCGAAAGCGUGGGGAGCAAACAGG